rnacentral:rRNA from 1 species
GAUGAACGCUGGCGGCGUGCCUAAUACAUGCAAGUCGAGCGAACAGAUAAGGAGCUUGCUCCUUUGACGUUAGCGGCGGACGGGUGAGUAACACGUGGGUAACCUACCUAUAAGACUGGAAUAACUCCGGGAAACCGGGGCUAGUGCCGGAUAACAUUUAGAACCGCAUGGUUCUAAAGUGAAAGAUGGUUUUGCUAUCACUUAUAGAUGGACCCGCGCCGUAUUAGCUAGUUGGUAAGGUAACGGCUUACCAAGGCAACGAUACGUAGCCGACCUGAGAGGGUGAUCGGCCACACUGGAACUGAGACACGGUCCAGACUCCUACGGGAGGCAGCAGUAGGGAAUCUUCCGCAAUGGGCUAAAUCCUGACGGAGCAACGCCGCGUGAGUGAUGAAGGUCUUCGGAUCGUAAAACUCUGUUAUUAGGGAAGAACAAAUGUGUAAGUAACUGUGCACGUCUUGACGGUACCUAAUCAGAAAGCCACGGCUAACUACGUG